UCACCACCCUUUAUCAUUAUCAGGAAUGUACAUUUUGUUUGAUACCAGAGGUCCUUUGCAGAUCCAUUCUUAAUAUGCAAAAUCAUCUUACAACACAGGGGGAAGAGAAAUGUCACAUGAAGAGGAAAGAAAAAAAAAGCCAAUGAGAAAAUCAUGCAUUUUACGGACUGACUGAAAUAAAAGAAAGGUUGCCUUUCCACCCAUGUCUCAGUCUAGGAAAACAGAACCUUUCUUAGGUUCUGUGAGAUGUGGCACAGCAGAGCAGGGACUAUUGUGUCCUUUCCAAAUGGGGUAGCUGGUGGCUGUUACCUGGGACAGUGCUUGGUGCCCAGCAGGUACAUGAUUUUGGGACAUACCCACAAUGAGAACACCUGGAAUGUUAAAGAAAAACUGAAAAUCUUACAGAAAUUUUUAUGCAGUAGUAAUAAUUAUGCCACAGAAUUCUGAUUUCCCUGGAUUUGGGGAGGAUCACCCAGCUAAUCAGCCAUGGGAUAAGCCACUAAGUUCUCAACCAAUGCAUUGCAUGAUUUUCUAAAAAAAUGUAUGAUUCUCUCAAAAACAUGGAUGAUUGAUCUCCCAUCAAGGACCUAGACCCAGGUUGGAUGUCUUGUUAUAUUUUCUUAAUUUUGUAUAUUUAAAAUAAUAUAUCAUUUAGUUUAUUUUUGAUCAUAACAACAUGCUUUUUAGAACACUUGAAAACUGACAUGAGCAAUAAUAAUAACAAAGAAAAAUUAUA
rnacentral:lncRNA from 1 species